rnacentral:rRNA from 1 species
UACGAAGGGGGCUAGCGUUGCUCGGAAUCACUGGGCGUAAAGCGCACGUAGGCGGCUUUUUAAGUCAGGGGUGAAAUCCUGGAGCUCAACUCCAGAACUGCCUUUGAUACUGGAAAGCUCGAGUCCGGGAGAGGUGAGUGGAACUGCGAGUGUAGAGGUGAAAUUCGUAGAUAUCAGGAGGAACACCAAUGGCGAAGGCAGCUCGCUGGGACGGUACUGACGCUGAGACGCGAAAGCGUGGGGAGCAAACAGG